GGGACAAUGAUUGUAGGGAUAUGAGUGAUGAGAAGGACUGUCCUACCCAGCCUUUUCACUGUCCUAGCACGCAGUGGCAGUGCCCGGGCUACAGCACCUGUAUCAAUCUGAGUGCCCUGUGUGACGGCGUCUUUGACUGUCCGAAUGGGACUGACGAGUCCCCACUUUGCAGUAAGUUCCCCGAUCACAGUUUGCUGGACACAAAUUUAUUCUGAACAGUAGAUAGCUGUUCCCCACCACUGUCACAGCUCCCGUGUAGUAUAUUGGGAAGGGGAUCCUCUUGUCACUUUACAUCCCCGUAGGAGUAACAAUAAAUUCCAAUAAAUGGUGACUGCAUAACA
rnacentral:lncRNA from 1 species